CGCAGGGUGGAGCAGUUGGCAGCUCGUCGGGCUCAUAACCCGAAGGCCGUAGGUUCGAGUCCUACCCCUGCUA
rnacentral:tRNA from 4 species